rnacentral:misc_RNA from 1 species
AAUUGUUCAUUCUUGUUUGUAUUGGAUCUUUCUCUCUCUCCUUCUCUCUCUCCUUCCUCCUUAUCUCAUCUAGUGUUUACACAGAGAAAAACAUUUUAAAACAAUAUAUAUGGUGUUCGCAUGCUGUUAUACAUUUCCUUAUUGCAUAGUUUUCUCGAACAAAUUUUUUUUUAAUACCGGUAAUAACAAAUUUUGAAGAAUUUAAGAAAUUAAGCAGAAAUGCUCAAGGCUAUUUUUCAGUAAAUGCCAGAACUGUAUUCAUUGUUUAUAUUAGGUUUUAAUUUAUGUAUCAAGUUUAUCAAUGGCCAAUUUCCCAUGUAAAAAGAUUGGAUGAAAUCCAAAUGAUUCAACC